rnacentral:rRNA from 1 species
GUGGAUUAGAUACCCUGGUAGUCCACACGGUAAACGAUGAAUGCCAGGUGCAGGGGGUAUCGACCCCUUCUGUGCCGGAGUUAACACAAUGAGCAUUCCGCCUGGGGAGUACGGUCGCAAGAUUAAAACUCAAAGGAAUUGACGGGGGCCCGCACAAGCAGCGGAGCAUGUGGUUUAAUUCGAAGCAACGCGAAGAACCUUACCAGGUCUUGACAUCCAGUAAAACCUGCGGAGACGCAGUGUGCCUUCGGGCGUACUGAGACAGGUGGUGCACGGUUGUCGUCAACG